ACGAAUGGUGCAAGCGUUACUCGGAAUUACUGGGCGUAAAGCGCGCGUAGGCGGCUUUGUAAGUUAGAGGUGAAAGCCCGAAGCUCAACUUCGGAAUUGCCUUUAAGACUGCAUCGCUAGAAUCAUGGAGAGGUUAGUGGAAUUCCGAGUGUAGAGGUGAAAUUCGUAGAUAUUCGGAAGAACACCAGUGGCGAAGGCGACUAACUGGACAUGUAUUGACGCUGAGGUGCGAAAGCGUGGGGAGCAAACAGGA
rnacentral:rRNA from 1 species